rnacentral:rRNA from 1 species
UAGUUUGAUCCUGGCUCAGGACGAACGCUGGCGGCGCGCUUCAUACAUGCAAGUCGAGCGGGGUCCAUCGGGCUUGCCCGAGAAGACCUAGCGGCGAACGGGUGCGUAACACGUGAGCAACCUGCCCCGAAGACCGGGAUAAGCCGGGGAAACUUGGUCUAAUACCGGAUGCCCUCACCGGACCGCAUGACUCGGUGAGGAAAUGUCUUAUCGCUUCGGGAUGGGCUCGCGGCCUAUCAGCUUGUUGGUGGGGUAACGGCCUACCAAGGCAACGACGGGUAGCUGGUCUGAGAGGAUGUCCAGCCACACUGGGACUGAGACACGGCCCAGACUCCUACGGGAGGCAGCAGUAGGGAAUCUUGCGCAAUGGGCGAAAGCCUGACGCAGCGACGCCGCGUGCGGGAUGAAGGCCUUCGGGUCGUAAACCGCUUUCAGCAGGGACGAAAUUGACGGUACCUGCAGAAGAAGCCCCGGCCAACUACGUGCCAGCAGCCGCGGUAAUACGUAGGGGGCUAGCGUUGUCCGGAUUUAUUGGGCGUAAAGAGCUCGUAGGCGGUUGGGCAAGUCACGUGUGAAAUCUCCACGCUCAACGUGGAGGCGCCACGUGAGACUGCCCUGACUAGAGUCCGGUAGGGGAGUGUGGAAUUCCCGGUGUAGCGGUGAAAUGCGCAGAGAUCGGGAGGACACCCGUAGCGAAGGCGGCACUCUGGGCCGGUACUGACGC